AUACGGAGGGUCCAAGCGUUAUCCGGAAUCAUUGGGUUUAAAGGGUUCGCAGGCGGUCAAUUAAGUCAGAGGUGAAAGCCCAUCGCUCAACGAUGGAACUGCCUUUGAUACUGGUUGACUUGAGUUAUACGGAAGUAGAUAGAAUAAGUAGUGUAGCGGUGAAAUGCAUAGAUAUUACUUAGAAUACCGAUUGCGAAGGCAGUCUACUACGUAUAUACUGACGCUGAGGGACGAAAGCGUGGGGAGCGAACAGGAUUAGAAACCCUAGUAGUCC
rnacentral:rRNA from 1 species